GGGCUUCCCCACUGCUCCCAAGCUGUGGCGGCCAUGCUUCUGCCCCUGUCCUUCCCUCUGCCAGGGACUCUCCUCACCCGGUGCUGCCUGGCUGGUUCCUGCUCAGCCUCUGCCCAAACAUCCCCUUCUCAGAGGCCUUCCCUGACCACCUGUCCAAAGCAGAUGAGGAAUAUCAAGGCACAGAGCAGUAAGGAGAUCAUCCCAAAUUACCCUGCGCGGACCACACUUUACGGACCAGGCCCUGGCCUGGAUGGAGCAAUGAUCUGCGGAUCCGGGGGUCUCUGAAGACAACUGACCCCAGUGCACACAGGUGGAUUCAAAUGAAGGCUCGGAGUCACUCUGGCAGUCUGGAUGCUGCCACUGGCUUUCUCUGUUAAAAGAAGUUCACGGAGACUAGGUGCCCUGCCCAAGGAACACAGCUAUGUCCCAAGUGAGGCAGCCCCUGGGACCCAGAAUGUUGCACCCCAGGGAGCUGUCAGGGUGGGGUGGCCUUGGUCUUGGAGUGCUCACAGUAGAGCUACCAGCAGGUCCUGGUUUGCAUCCCCCAAACCCAGGCAACCUGGACAGGACCUUCACAGACCCCAGCCCAGGUGCCGCAGGCCCAAGAUUCAGAGUCAGGCUGCCC
ensembl:lncRNA